CCUUCGAUAGCUCAGUUGGUAGAGCGGUGGACUGUAGAGAAUGUUGUUGACAUAGCAUAGAAAUCCAUAGGUCGCUGGUUCAAAUCCGGCUCGAAGGA
rnacentral:tRNA from 1 species